rnacentral:rRNA from 1 species
UCCUACGGGAGGCAGCAGUGGGGAAUAUUGCACAAUGGGGGGAACCCUGAUGCAGCGACGCCGCGUGGGUGAAGGAGUACUUCGGUACGUAAAGCCCUAUCAGCAGGAAAGAAAAUGACGGUACCUGACUAAGAAGCCCCGGCUAACUACGUGCCAGCAGCCGCGGUAAUACGUAGGGGGCAAGCGUUGUUCGGAAUGACUGGGCGUAAAGGGUGUGUAGGCGGUGUAGCAAGUUAGAAGUGAAAUACCUAGAGCUUAACUCAGGUGCCGCUUCUACAACUGCUAUACUUGAG